rnacentral:rRNA from 1 species
UACGGGGGGGGCAAGCGUUGUUCGGAAUUCCUGGGCGUAAAGGGCUCGUAGGCGGCCAACUAAGUCAGACGUGAAAUCCCCAGGCUCAACCUGGGAACUGCGUCUGAUACUGGAUGGCUUGAAUCCGGGAGAGGGAUGCAGAAUUCCAGGUGUAGCGGUGAAAUGCGUAGAUAUCUGGAGGAAUACCGGUGGCGAAGGCGGCAUCCUGGACCGGCAUUGACGCUGAGGAGCGAAAGCCAGGGGAGCAAACGGG